CUUAAGCAUAGACUACCCAGAACUGGUGUCACAAUAUUACAAACUACCUAAGAUUACUACAAAUAAGGGUCCGAAAGAUAAAUACAAACUAUUCCAGAAAUACAUAGAGGAAAUAGUUUAGAAGAAUAGAAGUAGAUGCGAAAGCUUGCAGACGCCUGCAGGACUACCUCGAAUUGCCUGAAUGGAUCGAACAACACCCUCACUGCGGUCCAAAAGCUGCAGCACCAGGAUCUGCACACAGUGUAGAGUAUAAUAUUAGCAAAACUGAUCCCAUCUACUGGUAAGUGAUUAGUCUAACCUCGGCAAAGUAGUGACGAGGCUAGGACCAGACUAUCAGAUAAUCCUGUGCAGUUAAAUCAUAUACAACGGAAAAAUAAAAACCAAUAUUACAGGUAGAGAUGUGAGGGGGAAAACAUGCUGCAGGGAGUAUCAGAUAACAAAAAAAUACCUAACGAGGAAUGUAAAUAAACAAAAAUUCAAUUUCCAACAAGAUUAAGAAAAACAAACACAAUAUUCAUUUUUAUUUCUUUCUUGUUGCACGCGUGCAACCCGUUCCCUUUUCAUAUAUUACCGUGGCGACAUGCCACCGAAUCCCAUUUCAUAUAUCACCGUAGUGGUGUGCCACCCGAUCCCAUAUCAUAUCUUGUUGCAGGCGUACGAACUGAUCACAUUUCAAAUAUUACCAUGGCAGCGUACCACCCGCUCCUAUUUCAUAUAUCUUGUUGCAGGCGUGCAAUCCAAUCCCAUUUACAAUUCAACGGCAAUCACAAAAGAAUCCCGACAAAUGGGACAAUAUCAUAAAUAAUAACAUCCAGACAAGGAAGACAAUGUCAUAACAAUAAUAGUGACAAGGGAGACAACAUCAUAAACAAUAACAUCAUGGCAAGGGAACCAACAAUGAUAAUCAUCAUAUUAAGCAUGAAUAAUAAUGGAAUUAUAACCAUUACAAUACGAGAUUCAGAGGCAUGUUUCACACCGACGAAUAGAUACUCGUCACCAUGCCUAUAGGUCAUACUUCACAUUCAACACAUUACAAUUCAGACAAAACGCCUAAUCCCUCAACCUAAGGUUAGACGAAACACUCACCUCGAUGCCACGAACACAAUUCAAGCCUCAACAAUCGCUUUACCUCUUGUUUCCACCACCAAUUCGCUUGUAUCUAGCAACAAGUUACUUAACUAAAUCAAUAAAUGCUAAAAGAAUCAAUUCUAAUGUAUGAAAAUAAGUUUACCAAUAAUUUUCCCAAAAAGUCAAAAAUCAACCCUAGGCCCACAUGGUCAAAACCCGAGGUUCGAACCAAAACCCGAUUACGUAUUCACCCACGAACUCAAAUAUAUAAUUUAUUUUGAAAUCGGACCUCAAAUCGAGGUCCAAAUCCCCAAAAUUUAAAAAAUCUAAGUUCUACCCAAAAUACCCAAUUUUCCCAUGAAAACCCUUAAUUUUGAGUUGAAAUCAUGUGAGAAGAUGUUAAAGAUCAAAGAAAACGAGUUAGAAAUAACUUACAAUCGAUUUGAAGAAUAGUUGUCUUUGAAAAAUCACCCAAAUGUGUUUAGAUUUUGAGAAAGUUUGAAAAAUGAAGAAUUUUCGGCUAAGUUAUAAUUUGCACAGGUGCACAUAUCGCAUUUUUGAAGUCAGGUUGGCAAAUGAGACUCGCAAAUGUGGUCCAGGAUUUACAAAUGCGAAAGUAGGCCAAAUCCCGCUUUCUUCGCAAUUGCGAAUAGUUGUUCGCAUGUGCAGUCCCUAUUGAAGUCGUAUUUGCGACAUAAGCCUCACAAAUGCGAGGAUUCCUGCCCCAACCCAUCAUCGUAAUUGCGAUGGGACUCUUUUAAAUGCGAGCUCGCAAUUGUGAUCCAGGCUUCGUAGACCUGCAAUAUACAACAGUUGAAAAUCUGAAACUUCCUAAAUUUAAAACAAUUUGUGGCCUAUCCAAAAUUUACCCGAGCCUCUGGGGCUCCAAACCAAACAUGCACCAAGUCCAAAGAUAUCAUACAGACUUGGUCGUGCGAUCAAAUCAUCAAAUAACAUCAAUAAUUAUAAAUUUUAGCAUCAAAAUCAAAGAAAAAUCUGAUGAACUUUAAUGUUCCAUUUUUAACAACCGGGGGUCCGAUUCACGUUAUUUCAAGUAUGUUUCUUACCAAAUUUUACAGGCCCAACUUAAAUAACAUAUAAGACCUGUACCAUGCUUCGAAACCAAAAUACGGGAUCAAUACCAUCAAAUUCAAACAUAUUUAAAUUUCUGAAAAUUCUUAAAAUUUCAGUUAAACAAUUUUCUUCAAAAUUCAUUUCUUGGGUUUGGGACCUCAGUUAUCGAUUCCGGGCAUAUGCCAAGUCUCAUAUUUUCCUACGGAUCCUCCGGUACUGUUAAAUCACGAGUCUGGGUCCGUUUACCCAAAAUAUUGAUUGAAGUCAACUUAAAUUCAUUUUAAGAGCAAAAUUUAUCAUUUUUCACAAAUUUUCACACAUUGACUUUUCGAUACACGGCUGAACUGUACACGCAAAUUGAGGUGAGAUAAAAAGAAUGUUUAAGGCCUCAAACCACAUAAUUUAUUUCCAAAACAAGUGAUGACCUUUUGAUCAUUACAAUAAGCAAUUAUGAUAUAAUUUUACGACAAUUUUGGUAUUAAUAUCAAAUAUAAAACCGGAUAACUUAUACGAAUAAGAUGUGCUUGACGGGGAUAUAACACCUAAAAUUCAAAAACACCAAAUAACCUUCUUUUCUUUUUCUAAUUAUUAUUUAUUUAUUUUUUUAAAAAGAGUAAAAACUAUGAACUUUAUAUUAUAAAACCAUAUAUACAAUUUUUAGUGCAAUGAUAAAAUAAUUUUGGCAAAAUAGCUAGUAUAUAUAUAUAUAUAUAUAUAUAUAUAUAUAUAUAUAUAUAUAUAUACCAAAAAAUUUGGUAAUUAUUAAUUUUUGCAUUAUAAACUUUUUAUUAUAGUUCCAGUAUAACUUGCUUCAUGACCAAUCGAUGUUUUCUUCUCUCUCUCUUUUCUUUUUGGUAUAUUUUUUAUAUUUUAGUUUAUAUAAAUCUAUUUUUUUUUGAUCUAUUUAAAAAAUGAUUUCUUUUUAAAUUUAGAAAUUAUUUAGGUUAAACUUUUAAUUCUCUUUAAUGAGAAAAUUUUAUAGUCACACAAAUUCCCUGACUUGUUUUUAAUUUGUUAAGAUCAUAAAUUUAAAUUUUUUUUUUUUAAACUCUGUAUUCGGAGAAAGUAUUUACAUAUAAAUAUUUAUGAUAGAUACCAUACCUCUUUCAUUGUCAAUUGUCAGCACAAGUUUGCUAACGUCCCCUUCACGAGAAUGACCAUUUCCAACUCUCCUUGUUUUCUUCUACUCUUCCAUCUGUUUGUCUUCUUUCCUCCCUUGGAAUGUGUGCUUGAUUCCAUUCUCUCUUUUCAAUUUUCAUCUACUGUUCCACUAACUUCUGCUACAAUUUCUUCACCCUUUUUGCUCAUUGGUCAAUUUUAGCACAAAAUAUGAGACACAAU
rnacentral:lncRNA from 1 species